GAUGAACGCUAGCGGCAGGCUUAAUACAUGCAAGUCGAGGGGCAGCAUGACUGUAGCAAUACAGUUGAUGGCGACCGGCAAACGGGUGCGGAACACGUACGCAACCUACCCAAAACUGAGGAAUAGCCCGGGGAAACCCGGAUUAAUACCUCGUAACAUAAUUGAGUGGCAUCAUUUAAUUAUUAUAGCUCCGGCGGUUUGGAUGGGCGUGCGCCUGAUUAGAUAGUUGGCGGGGUAACGGCCCGACCAAGUCUGCGAUCAGUAACUGGUGUGAGA
rnacentral:rRNA from 1 species